GCAAUGUUGCCAUAUGCAACUUUUUUUUUUUUCCAAAAGUUAUUUCCUGUUUGUUUAACAUCCUUAAACCAGACAGCAAGCUCAUUGAAUAGGCAAGGAAUUUACCUUUUGAUUGUUUUGAAUCUUUCAGUAACUACCUUGAGGCUCAGUCCUUCGCAGGCUUCCCUCGACUUCUUGCUUAUUGAUAGAUGCAAGGACAAUUUAGAGGUUGAAUAAAACUUUGAAACUAAAUAUCCUAAUAAUGGUAAACUUUUGGGGGGCGGCAUACGUAUUAUAUACUAUACUCGGUGUUCUCCAUGGUUUGUUAAUCUCAUUUAAUUCUUAUGCCAACACCGAGAUGGUGGUACCAUUAUUAUCCCAAUUUAUAGAUGAAGAAACAAGACUGAGACAGUGAGUGACUUGCCCAAGGUCACAUGGCUAGCAAGUCUGGGAGAUGGAUCUGGACAAGGGCAGUCUGACCUCAGGUCUCAUUAGCCUAGUUGCCUUGCCGUGGUAUCUCUCUCUUGGGGUGUGCUCUUCCUUAUCCCACACGGUACUAAAUGACUCUGCAGAUAAAGGAAAGUCACAGAGCAACUUUCCAAGCUUGCUUACUUAAGUCAAUGGCUUCCUCUCCUUUCCCUUAUCACGGGACAUCAGAGACGCUAACGAGGAGCUGCACGUCUGGGCUACGACCCCUGCUGCCGACUCCUGGGGCAGGUACCCAGCAGCAGUCAACGGAGAAGGUGGUAAGAGAAAUAAGAGAAGUAAGAGAAGGGGCUUGAAUGUCAGCAGACUGAGGGACCAGCUGCUGGUGGAUGCAGCCUGGGCGGGGUAAAUAAUAGGAAAAUGAUGCUGAUGAUGGCGACAAUGACAGCAACAGCCGCCAUGAGAUGUUGAUUUUACAACCCCAUGAAUUCAAGCUCUUUUGCAGAAAAAUAAGUGCUUCCUGCUUGUGACGUUGAGGAACUGCCACGGCUUCCUGUGGCUCAGACUCAAACCGAGCGUGGGGCCCUCCUUACCGUGUCGGAAAGGAACGCUCCGUGUAAACAGAAUGAGUCAAGCCAGAGUCGUUUCCCUGGUGAUCGGAGCGCAGCAAUCUUUCUAAAAAGCAAAUACCCAGCACACUCCGUGCAGAAAAUCAAUGAGCUCUGUCAGGCAUUCCAGCUUUAAUUAUCUGGGUUGUUGUCAACAGCAGAGUUCGGAGCGAAAACAAACAGCUGCCAUGCUGUUUUGGGGGCCUGCACCUCUAACUCCCUAGUGGUAAAAGACCGCUUUCUCGGAGUCAAGGACUCCAGGUUCCGAGGGUACCGGUGGAGAACCCGACAAUGUGAGGGUUGAACUUCUUCAGAAUGUCUUUUAAGAGGGGGAAGCAGACAGUACAGGAGCCCCAGCCGGCAGGGCAGGGAGCCUACCGCCAGGAAGGGGAGCCGGACGUCGCGGAAGAAGGGCUGAAGCACCACAGAGAAGUCCUCCCGGGUGUCAUAGCGGCCCGACUCCACCAGCUCCCGCAUGCUGCUCUGCAGACACACACAGGCUGCCCUCAGCACAGGCCCCGAGGCCCCCCGGGGCGGGGGUGGGGGUGGGAGGUGGGGGGGUGGGGGGGUGUUGGGAGGAGGCCAGGGUGUGGCGGCUGACACUCCUGCCCCCAUCUCCCUACCCAAGAGGGUGACUCAACCCUUCCCCGAGAACACAGACACAUGUGACGGCAAAUCUCUUUCCAGAGAAUUGGAAACAGGUUGGUUCACCUUUGGAUUUGCUGUCGAGUCAACUGCCAGCUCUGAAGGCCAAGGCAGGAAGUCCCACAAGGGGUAAGAAGCUGGGGAGAGUCUCCAGGGGGCCCCUGGGGGUUCAGGACCAGCCACCUCCCUAUUCAUGCCCCUGUGGCCUGUCUCUUGAGGAGGGGAGGAGGGGAGUCCCCGGGGUGCAGGGAGGGGGCAGGCCCACCCACCUAGCACUCAGAGCUACUGACCUCUUUAGGCCAAGCACGGGGCUAAGCCACAAGGGCAGGCGGGCCUGAGGGGCUUUGCCACCUGGAUUCCUCUGGGAUGACUCUAACAGAGCGGCCCGAGACACUUCCGCCAGGUGGGGCAGAGGAGGGGGCCCUGAGGGUGACAUCCCUCCAACCCGGACCAGCUCUUCCCUUCCCUGAGUGCAGGUGUGUUGACCGAGUGGGGGAGAGCGCUCCCCGUGGUGGUGCCCUUCUGGGUCUCACCUGGUAGGCUUGGCUGAUGGCCUCCAACCUGGCCAGCUCUUGGGAGCUCUCCCGAGGGGUCAGAACGCAGUUACAUAACACGCUGCACAAAGAGGGGGAGACGGGAGGGCCCAGCUCUGUGGGGUGGUUCUCUUGAGCCCUGGCUUAGGAGCACACGGGCCCUGGGGCUCUGAUGCUCAUUCUCAGGGACAGGUUUGAGGCCUGAUGCAGGGACUGGACAAAGUCCCUAGGGCGGGCGAGCGAGCAGCCUCUCAUAGCGAUAGAACACAAACACCGGACAGCAGGCACUGGGCCUGCGGCAAAGUAUACGGAACAAAUGAACUUAGGCAAUGAAAAUCUGAUGUUUAAUUUUUAAGAAUAAAAAGUAAAAUGCA